rnacentral:lncRNA from 1 species
GCUGUAGGUUGUUCAAAACUAUUUACUUGGAUUAUUCAUAAUUUUCCAUGUAGUCGUAUGCAUAUGUUCUAAGUGAAUCACUGAAACUUCUUAAAGAGAAGGAUAAGGAAUGAGAGAGAGAGAAAAAGAAUAUUCUUGGUGGUGCUGGGCAAGAGGAUCCUGGAUUCUGAUCCCUUUUCUAGUCUAGAACCAUGUCCUGAUGAUUAUAUAGCCUUGUGAUUAGAAAUCAUGUGGAAAGCAUGAGUUUUAAGUUCCUCAGUUUGAGGUCUCCUAGAAUGCAGGUCACUUCCUGAGACAGUUCUCUAUUCAUAAUGGUGAUAAGGACUGGGUAAUCCUCUAUGCGUCUUGUGCAGGUGUCAUAGAAGGGCAUUUCGGACCAGGUGUUGCCUAUCCAUUACUGCUGCAAGCACUUUGACUAACUAGACAAAAUCUAGUCAUGAUUGUCUCUCUCCACCCACCCCAGCAUCCAAGAAUGUCCAGAGACUGAAUCUGUUUUGUGCCUUCAUCAAUACAUCACACCAUUGUAGCAGACAAUAGAGAAAGAGAAAAUAAUACUUUAAUGGAUCGGUGACGUGAUACCUUCCUGUUGAUGGCCCUAAUGUAAAGCCCUUUGAAGUCCAAAGACUUCUACCUGCCCAUUAGGCUUUAAAGAUGCUGGGAUACACAAUUUACACAACACAUGCAAAAGAAAAACAGGAUUCAUAGAUUGUGGAACACAAAGCCCUACUCGAAUCUCAACAAGACCAAGAAAACAAAGCCAGAUUAAGAAACUGAGGAAGUGGCUUCCUACAGUGUUGCUACUAAUCAAGUUUAUGCACUUGGAGUGUUGCUGCCCCUAGUGUGAUGUGAGGCCCUUUGUGUGCUUUCUAUGUGAUCCAAGAAGAUCCUGAAGGUCCUGGAAAGAACAGAAAGGCAAAAGAACAGGAAAAAAGG